UACGGAGGGGGCGAGCGUUGUUCGGAUUCACUGGGCGUAAAGGGCGCGUAGGCGGAUUUACAAGUCAAAUGUGAAAACCAGCGGCUUAACUGCUGGCCUGCACUUGAAACUGUCGAUCUUGAGUACGGGAGAGGAAAGCGGAAUUCCUGGUGUAGCGGUGAAAUGCGUAGAUAUCAGGAGGAACACCGGUGGCGAAGGCGGCUUUCUGGCCCGAUACUGACGCUGAGGCGCGAAGGCUAGGGGAGCAAACAGGAUUAGAUACCCCCGUA
rnacentral:rRNA from 1 species